UACCCAAAAACCUUAAUAGUUGAAUAAUAAAAAUAAUGGAAAAGUCCCCUUCUAGGAAUUCAAUCCAAUGCACGCGCGUUCAUCUUUCAUUUUCCCCCAAAUUGCUUUAGCCAUUUUUGUGUUCCUUCUUAGAUGCAAACCCUUCCGUUUCACUUUCAUUAUCAAAUUUUCCCGUCAAAUGGAAAUAUUUCACCGAAUUUCGUCCUAUCAAUCAGCACUUCUCUACUCUUCUCACCUCGUUGCAUCCAUCAUCACUGUUCUCUCAUCACCCAGAAAACCCUAAUCUUCUUCCUUGCCAUUCAAAAUCAAGACAUAGAAUAGCUGAGGAGUAGAAUCCUUAGUCAAUCAAAGUUGAAAAUUCAGGCUGGGUUUUAGUGUUAGUGAUUUCAGUGUCUUGUUGAAAAUUUCAGAAUUUUCUUGUAGAAAAUCUGGAGUCUUUGCAAUUUGGAAAAUUUCAGUUGUAUUUGUAUUGGCAGGUGCAGGGAAGAAAAAAAAGAAAAGGAUCUCGACUGCUGCUUUGAGUGCUCUCCCAAAUCUCUCUCCUCACUUUCAGACGAAAGUCACGAAAUUCGUCCAGAAAUUUCUCCAGGUUAUGAUGGCUCCGAUUAGGAAGUAUCCUUCUGGGGUUAAAAAAAGAAAAGAGAAGCAAAAGAGAGAGGCAUUGGUUAAGCUUCAAGCCGGAUGUACUUCAACGCAAAUGCUGAACAAGUACAAGAGAAUGAGAAUGAGAACGAUAAUGUGAAUGAGAGUACAGAAGAGAUUUUUUUUUUUUUUUUUUUUUUUUUUUUUUAUAAAAUAUAUUUAAAGGUAGGGAGCCCCCAUUUUUUUUUUCCGCCUAGAGCCCCGGAAAUCCCAGGGCCGGCUCUGCCCUAUAGUAGAUUAGCUGGGUCAGAUCUAACACUUACAAGCGAGGUAUCUGAUAGUAUGUUCUUGCUUAUGUGAACCUGGGAAGAAGUUCUCAGAUACUAUGGAGUUUCCUACCUAAUUGAUUUUUUCCUGUGUUUUUCUUUGAAGUUUGCAGGUAUUUGAGCAAUUAUGGUUCCAGGGUAGUGGUAAAAAAUUCUGGUGAGGAAGAAAACAAGGAAAAGACAGUGGUUAUGCAAAGGGAUAAUGCCAUUAGCCAGCAAAGGAUUUCUACCCACCCUGAAAAUAUUGGCAGCUUGCAUGGUUUGGUGAGAAAAAUAUGAGCAGCAUUGGGUAUGGAAGGAUGCUAUUCACAUAGAUAUUUCAAAGAUAACUUGGAUGUAGUGCAGCCGUGAGGAAAUUGAUGUAGAUAGGAACUUACUAGGAAUUUUGUAUUUGGUAUCAUUCAAACAGCACUUUGGUCAAUAAUAUAUAAUUUUGGUUGGUAUAUGGCAUUCAUAGAUCAUUGGUUGCCAAUAUUUUUUUUUUU